rnacentral:rRNA from 1 species
GCUUGGCGGCAAUAGCCUUCUGGACCCACCCCUUCCCUUCCCGAACAGGACCGUGAAACAGAUGAGCGCCAAUGAUAGUGAGCUUCCGCUCGCGAAAGUAGGUCACCGCCAGGCU